AGAGUUUGAUCAUGGCUCAGAUUGAACGCUGGCGGCAGGCCUAACACAUGCAAGUCGAACGGUAACAGGAAGCAGCUUGCUGCUUCGCUGACGAGUGGCGGACGGGUGAGUAAUGUCUGGGAAGCUGCCUGAUGGAGGGGGAUAACUACUGGAAACGGUAGCUAAUACCGCAUAAUGUCGCAAGACCAAAGAGGGGGACCUUCGGGCCUCUUGCCAUCGGAUGUGCCCAGAUGGGAUUAGCUUGUUGGUGGGGUAACGGCUCACCAAGGCGACGAUCCCUAGCUGGUCUGAGAGGAUGACCAGCCACACUGGAACUGAGACACGGUCCAGACUCCUACGGGAGGCAGCAGUGGGGAAUAUUGCACAAUGGGCGCAAGCCUGAUGCAGCCGUGCCGCGUGUAUGAAGAAGGCCUUCGGGUUGUAAAGUACUUUCAGCGGGGAGGAAGGGAGUAAAGUUAAUACCCUUGCUCAUUGACGUUACCCGCAGAAGAAGCACCGGCUAACUCCGUGCCAGCAGCCGCGGUAAUACGGAGGGUGCAAGCGUUAAUCGGAAUUACUGGGCGUAAAGCGCACGCAGGCGGUUUGUUAAGUCAGAUGUGAAAUCCCCGGGCUCAACCUGGGAACUGCAUCUGAUACUGGCAAGCUUGAGUCUCGUAGAGGGGGGUAGAAUACCAGGUGUAGCGGUGAAAUGCGUAGAGAUCUGGAGGAAUACCGGUGGCGAAGGCGGCCCCCUGGACGAAGACUGACGCUCAGGUGCGAAAGCGUGGGGAGCAAACAGGAUUAGAUACCCUGGUAGUCCACGCCGUAAACGAUGUCGACUUGGAGGUUGUGCCCUUGAGGCGUGGCUUCCGGAGCUAACGCGUUAAGUCGACCGCCUGGGGAGUACGGCCGCAAGGUUAAAACUCAAAUGAAUUGACGGGGGCCCGCACAAGCGGUGGAGCAUGUGGUUUAAUUCGAUGCAACGCGAAGAACCUUACCUGGUCUUGACAUCCACGGAAGUUUUCAGAGAUGAGAAUGUGCCUUCGGGAACCGUGAGACAGGUGCUGCAUGGCUGUCGUCAGCUCGUGUUGUGAAAUGUUGGGUUAAGUCCCGCAACGAGCGCAACCCUUAUCCUUUGUUGCCAGCGGUCCGGCCGGGAACUCAAAGGAGACUGCCAGUGAUAAACUGGAGGAAGGUGGGGAUGACGUCAAGUCAUCAUGGCCCUUACGACCAGGGCUACACACGUGCUACAAUGGCGCAUACAAAGAGAAGCGACCUCGCGAGAGCAAGCGGACCUCAUAAAGUGCGUCGUAGUCCGGAUUGGAGUCUGCAACUCGACUCCAUGAAGUCGGAAUCGCUAGUAAUCGUGGAUCAGAAUGCCACGGUGAAUACGUUCCCGGGCCUUGUACACACCGCCCGUCACACCAUGGGAGUGGGUUGCAAAAGAAGUAGGUAGCUUAACCUUCGGGAGGGCGCUUACCACUUUGUGAUUCAUGACUGGGGUGAAGUCGUAACAAGGUAACCGUAGGGGAACCUGCGGUUG
rnacentral:rRNA from 1 species